rnacentral:lncRNA from 1 species
UGUGCUAUCAAAUAAUCAAGUUCAAACUCGUUGUUUUAAGGUCAGAUUCUUACUCUUGCCUUUUCCUAAAAUUUUGUGUAUUAACUUUUGAUGAAAUGAAGUCAUUUGUUUGAUAUUAGCAAUGUAUUCGUUUGGUUGGCACUCAUAUUGCUUUCGUAUUCCUUUUUUUUAUAUUAGCUUUAAAGAUUAUUGUUAGAUCAUUAGCUUAUCAUUCAUUAAACUUGAUUAAGAGGAAGAAAAGAAUGCUAAUUCACUAAUAGCUUCAAAUUAGCGAUUUGUUGGAUUUUGUCUAAUUGAUAAAUGGGUCGUGGGGUUUGUCUGAUUUUAAGAGCAAAAUCACACUUGGACUUCUUAAAGCAAAUUGUCACGGCAGACAACUGAAAGAUUUAUAACAAUUGGAGCUUUGGAUUAUUUCUGUUAGUUUCUUAUUUCGCUAUACCCGUUUGAUCGCUAGGAGCAUGCUAGGCCAUCAACAUUUGGGCAGGCAAAUUUUAGGUCUCGUCUUUUAUUUUACUCGAGGUGAAAGGUUGUUCCCUUUAGUUUAUAUUCAGGAGAAUAUGCCCCGUAUAGUUUGUAUAUACUAUUUUCCGGGGUAUGCCCCGAGUGAAUGUAAACGGAGGCCGUGGCAACAUCAUUAUGGAGGAAGCAUUAACAUAGGCUAGUGUAGGAUUUUUAGAAAUUUUCUUUUCUUUUUGUUUAAUUUUCUUAGGCGGCUACGAUCUUGAACCUCUUUUGUGUUUUAUUUUCCUUUUCUGUGUCUUUUACCUCAAUUUGAGUGUUCUUUAAAGCCAACUAGAUCAUGUACACAACCGUGAUUUUUACGGGACUCGGGGAUUGCCUAACACCUUCUCCCCGAGUCGAAUGAACCCCCUUAUCUAGAAUCUCUGGUGCAGACUAUGUUUUAGAGUCUAAAUGUAUUUUCAAAUGGAAGAAUCAUUUUUUAAACGGUGACUUGGCAUACCGAAAUCAAAUAUCAAGUGGCUACUCUGAAAAAUUCUUUGAAACACAAUCUUUUGUCAUUUUCAAUUGGAAAACCCUUUUGAGCUUACAAAUCACUUUAUCUUUUUUAAAGAGGGUUAGUGAGGUAAAAAAAGGGUAUGACAGGUCCAGCUCAGGCACCAGCUGUGUCCAUUGUGAUUCCAGGCCUUCAAGAGGUGUUGACCCAGAUAUUGACUAUUUGCACUGGCCUUGCUCAGGUGGUUUCGGCUCAGGCCGCGCCAACCACUUCUCAAGCUGAGGGAGGUACUCAUACCCCCGCCGCCCGUACUCCAGAGCAGGUGAUGCAUGGACUUCAAACACCAGGGGUACUACCAGCCCAGCCGGUUGUAGCUGCUCAAGCCUAGGUUGUCCCCGUUAUGACUGAUGAUGAGCAGAGGAGACUUGAGAGAUUUGGGAGGUUUCAGCCUCCAUCAUUUAGCGGGUCCGAGUUAGAGGAUGCCCAGGGUUUCUUGGAUAAAAGCAAUGGAUUCUUCGCAUUGCAGGUAUUAUGGAGACCAAUGGAGUUUCAUUUACAUCUUUUUAGUUUACUGGGGCUGCCUUCAAAUGGUGGGAGGCUUAUAGAGGCGUAGGCCAGUCGGUGCAGUACCACUUACAUGGCAGGAGUUCUCCGUUCUCUUCUUGGAGAAGUUCGUGUCGCAGUCUCGCUGUGAGGAGCUGUGUAGACAGUUUGACUAGUUACAUCAGGAGGGCAUGUCUGUGACACAGUACGAGAUGAGGUUUUCUGAGUUGGCCAACAACAUGUGCAUUGGCAUGUUGAUAUAGAGAAGUCAAACUCCUCAUAUCAUUCAGAAUUUGAUCUAUUUUACUUGAAUUGAGUUUAACUGUUGAACUUGGAAGCAUGCCUAUAUUCCUAUACUGUUAUUUCUAUGUUGAACUGUACCUGCUGAGUUCGUCACUACCUUUCAGUCCAAAGUUUAGAUUUAUUACUUAUUGAGUUGGUUGUACUCAAGCUACACCCUGUACCUUGUGUGCAGAUCCAGGUGCUUUCGGUCCCGGCGGUUGCUGAGUUGUGGAGUUCAGAUUCUCGGAGACAAUCGAGGUAGCUGGUUGCCGUUUUACAGACCUUGUCUCUCUUUCUCUAUCUUUCCACUUAUUGUAUUUAGUUUCAGACUAUCAUAGACAGUAUUUUUCCAGACUUGUGAUGUAUAGAUGCUCAUGUACUCUGUGACACCCCGAU